UCCGUAGGCGGUGCGGUAAGUUGGGAGUGAAAUCUCUGGGCUUAACUCAGAGGCUGCUUCCAAAACUACCGUGCUCGAGUGCGAGAGAGGCAAGUGGAAUUGCGGGUGUAGCGGUGAAAUGCGUAGAUAUCCGCAGGAACAUCCGAGGCGAAAGCGGCUUGCUGGAUCGCAACUGACGCUGAGGGACGAAAGCUAGGGGAGCAAACAGGAUUAGAUACCCUGGUAGUCCUAGCCCUAAACCAUCAGGACUUGGGGUUUGCCCUGUACGGGGCAAGUCCCGGAGCUAACGCGUUAAGUCCUGCGCCUGGGGAGUACGGUCGCAAGACUGAA
rnacentral:rRNA from 1 species